rnacentral:rRNA from 1 species
GUGGGGAAUAUUGGGCAAUGGGGGAAACCCUGACCCAGCAACGCCGCGUGAAGGAAGAAGGCUUUCGGGUUGUAAACUUCUUUUAUGAGGGACGAAGAAGUGACGGUACCUCAUGAAUAAGCCACGGCUAACUACGUGCCAGCAGCCGCGGUAAUACGUAGGUGGCAAGCGUUGUCCGGAUUUACUGGGUGUAAAGGGCGCGUAGGCGGGAUAGCAAGUCAGGUGUGAAAUCCGGGGGCUUAACCCUCGAACUGCACUUGAAACUGUUAUUCUUGAGUGAUGGAGAGGCAAGCGGAAUUCCUAGUGUAGCGGUGAAAUGCGUAGAUAUUGGGAAGAACACCGGUGGCGAAGGCGACUUGCUGGCCAGCAACUGACGCUGAGGCGCGAAAGCCAGGGGAGCAAACGGGAUUAGAUACCCCUGUAGUCC